GAUGAGCCCGCGUUGGAUUAGCUAGUUGGUGGGGUAAAGGCCUACCAAGGCGACGAUCCAUAGCUGGUCUGAGAGGAUGAUCAGCCACAUUGGGACUGAGACACGGCCCAAACUCCUACGGGAGGCAGCAGUGGGGAAUAUUGGACAAUGGGCGCAAGCCUGAUCCAGCCAUGCCGCGUGAGUGAUGAAGGCCCUAGGGUUGUAAAGCUCUUUCACCGAUGAAGAUAAUGACGGUAGUCGGAGAAGAAGCCCCGGCUAACUUCGUGCCAGCAGCCGCGGUAAUACGAAGGGGGCUAGCGUUGUUCGGAAUUACUGGGCGUAAAGCGCACGUAGGCGGAUAUUUAAGUCAGGGGUGAAAUCCCAGAGCUCAACUCUGGAACUGCCUUUGAUACUGGGUAUCUUGAGUAUGGAAGAGGUGAGUGGAAUUCCGAGUGUAGAGGUGAAAUUCGUAGAUAUUCGGAGGAACACCAGUGGCGAAGGCGGCUCACUGGUCCAUUACUGACGCUGAGGUGCGAAAGCGUGAGGAGCAAACAGGAUUAGAUACCCUGGUAGUCCACGCCGUAAACGAUGAAUGUUAGCCGU
rnacentral:rRNA from 1 species